rnacentral:rRNA from 18 species
UAAUUGCGCGUCAACUUGUGAACUGCAGGACACAUGAACAUCGACAUUUCGAACGCACAUUGCGGUCCUCGGAUACUGU